rnacentral:lncRNA from 1 species
UGAAACUUUAAAUGACGUAAAUAAAAAACUGGUUGAAGAAUUUACCCAAAGCGUAGAGUGUAGAUUAGUAGGGACAAUCCUUUCUCAGUUACUUCUUCAAUCAACAACUCUCAAUAUUUCCUUAACAAUUUCUAAAUUCUCUCUAAUUUUCCUUUUUCCAGACUUAACAAAAAUGAAAAUAAAGAAGACGUAUAAUAAAGGAAACUGACGCAGUUGUGGUCAGUUAAC